CCUACGGGAGGCUGCAGUGGGGAAGAUUGCACAAUGGGGGAAACCCUGAUGCAGCGACGCCGCGUGAGUGAAGAAGAAUUGCGGUAUGUAAAGCUCUAUCAGCAGGGAAGAAAAGGACGGUACCUGAGUAAGAAGCCGCGGCUAACUACGUGCCAGCAGCCGCGGUAAGACGUAGGGGGCAAGCGUUCUCCGGAUUUACUGGGUGUAAAGGGAGCGUCGACGGCAGCGCACGUCUGAAGUGAAAUGCCGGGGCUUAACCCCGGAACUGCUUGGGAAACGGUGCAGCUAGCGUGCAGGAGAGGUAAGUGGCAUUCCUUGUGUAGCGGUGAAAUGCGUAGAUCUUAGGAGGCACCCCAGUGGC
rnacentral:rRNA from 1 species